ensembl:snoRNA small nucleolar RNA, C/D box 17
GUGAAGUGAUGAUUCGGUUUAUCCAUUCGCUGAGUGUGCUGUCCCGACCUUCUUCAAGCCCAGGUUCCUGUUCUAGGAACCCAGGUGUGUGGCCCCCAGUGCCCCUCAGCCUGCAGUGUUCUGCUGUGGGUGCCUGGUGCUGGGGACUGCAGGAGGACCAGUUGGUGGUGGCAGGGUGGGGCCUCUGGGUCCCACUCACCGAGAUGAGUGGUGGAAUCUGAUCAC